AUACGGAGGGUGCAAUCGUUAUCCGGAAUCAUUGGGUUUAAAGGGUCCGUAGGCGGGCAAUUAAGUCAGAGGUGAAAUCCCACAGCUCAACUGUGGAACUGCCUUUGAUACUGGUUGUCUUGAGUUAUAGUGAAGUAGAUAGAAUGUGUAGUGUAGCGGUGAAAUGCAUAGAUAUUACACAGAAUACCGAUUGCGAAGGCAGUAUACUAACUGUUGUCUGACGCUAAUGGACGAAAGCGUGGGGAGCGAACAGGAUUAGAAACCCCAGUAGUCC
rnacentral:rRNA from 1 species